CCUAACAAAGGAAGAAAGAAGGAAAAUGCAGUAGUGAAUAAAGUCUAUAUAUAAUUAGAGUGGUUUUAUUACUUAAUUUAUUACGUUACAGGAAGAUUAUAAUAGACAAGCAAGACUAUAAUAGAGUGCUGCUGCUGCAUUUAUUAGAGAAGGAGAUGCUGGUAAUCUCCAUUUCACAAGUUCAUUAAUCUCGAUCGAAAAUAUGGCUCAUUUAAGCAUAUACAAAGUACAUCUGGGAAAGAAAGUUAAGAACCAAGAUAGGGUCACUGAUAUUUGGAUGAUGUUCAUACGGAGAGGGAGGGAGAAAGGCUGUACUCAAGCCCCCAGAGCUCAAAACUGCCUUUGACAAAAUCAUAAUAACCACCCUUCAGUCCUAGAGUUUUGUUCACCAAGCCAUCUCUCACAAACGGGUAGGUUAGCAAGUGUCCAAGGGACACGUUCACUGCCUCCUGCAAUAUCGACUUAAACAUGUUAUUAUUAGCAAUUAAUUAAUGCCACUCGAAGUUGAUCGUAGCUAAGCGCUUGCCUUUUCACAUUGUGUACAGAGGUCUGGGAAAGGUGCAUUGGCAUGUUCUGCUAAAACCUUAGUCUUGGCAGGGUAGCAAACUUUGACCCAGUCUUCUAUGAAAUCACUGCAUAUAAAUUUCAAUCAUUAAUUGUACAAUCUAUAUGAAAAGAAACAAAUAACUCAAUGGACUUCUUAAUUAAGACGCUAGCUUAUGUACGUUGAUGUUGUUCCAUCAUAAGGGAAGGACAUGAGGCCCUUAAUUCCACCACAGGCGCUGUGUCCAAUGACCACAAUGUAUUCCACCUGCAACACUCACAUGAACACCGAUCAAACUUAAGCCUGGCUCUCCUGGCUGGUUGAAAUAUCAAAUAUGUGUGCGUGUGUGCGUGCAUUCCAUCGGUAUUCAAGCAGUCUGAGAAGUUAAUUGGCUGUCGAGGGAUCAGAAGAAUUUCAUUAUCAUGAUGGAUAAGUAGCUAGUUCACCUUCAGAUGCAAAACUGCAUACUCUACUGCUGCCCCAACUCCAGCGUACUUAGUCUGUUGCAAUAAAUACAGAAAAUUAAAUAAUUUUAUUGCUGGGGAAGAGUAAAGAUCACAGAGUAACAUGAGGGGGUGAUUACCUUAUCGUAUGGCGGGACCAUAUUCGCAACAUUGCGGAGCACAAAAGCUUCCCCUGGUUGGAAAUCAAGCACAUGGGACGGGCAAACCCGGGAAUCCGAGCAUGCAAACACCAUAAACUGUAACAUUUUGAUUACAACACAGGCAUUAAAAAUUUCUCAAGAGAACCCAACUUUUUUUUUUUUUUUUAUGAAGAGACUCGUUGGAUUUGGAUCACACACGACAUUAGAGUAAUCUUUCUUUACUAUAUAAUAACUAAAUAAACCAUCUUUACUAUUUCAUUAGGACUCAAUCCUGGUUAAUUAUAGUUACCAAUUAGCACAUGCAUGUCUAUGAUUAAGCGUGCGUGCGCACCUUGGGGCUUUGGCCUUUGGCAAGCUCGGAGUACAGUCCCGGAUUCUUGCUGCCAAACAAAAAGCACAAAAACCACUUCAAAUACAUAGCUAUUAGCUACGAACUCCUGUGUGUAUUAAGCAUGUACCAGAAGAAUUGUAAGAGAAGAAAGAGAGUGAAUAUGACAUACUCAUAUUUCUCCUUCUUGAAGUGAAUGAAGCCGGAUUUAAUCUUCUCAACAGGAUCGAAUGCCUUGGGGUCAGAAGAUGAGGCGGUUUGUAAUUCAGCUGUUAUCUGCUCCACUUUCGCAGCUGCUACAGUUUUCAGCUCUUCCUUAUCACUGCAACCGACCAUUCAACUACACAUUACUUCAUUAAUACUUUAGUUAUAAACAAGCUUGUUCUCUCCACUGCCAUUUAGCUCAUGCUUUCGCUUCCCCUUUAAUUUUUUUUCUCACGUUAAGAAAGGAGAGAUUAUCUUUUAAUUCGUUCGUACGUACACUCUGCUCGGGGAGGGAUGAAGGGAACAUAGGGAAGAAGAAGAAGGGUACAUGGGUUGGAGGAAAAUGAAAACACUGUUUUACCAUUAUUUAUUGCUACGAUAAAUAAUAAAUUUUUUUCAUUUUUACCUGAGGAGUUUCUUGAGAGAUUCAAUGGCCUCGUUGUAGUCCUUUCCCAUUUCUUCGCCUCUCUGAUAAUUCCGACCCAAAGCAUUUAGGAAUAUUAAUUUUUAAAAAAAGGUACAUGUAAAUUAUAUAAUGAAAGGGAAAAAAAAAAAAGAACAAGGCAGCCGAAGAAAGUACUUACAAUUAAGAAAUUAAAUGAAAAGAGAGUGAAGAAACCUAUUCAAAUGCAUGUUGCUAAGAUACGCAAUAAAUUAAUGCAUAUCGAAACGCAUGAAAAUAAACUGUCAAUUGAGAAGUCUUUACUACGCCAUAAAUGUUGGCAAACGAGUGAACAGAACUGAGUUUUUUCUCCCCUUCUCUUGGGUAUAUGAAAUUAUGAAUGGACAACCUUUCCUGUUGCCCUCUUACAGGAAUCUUAACUGGCUUCUAUCAUGUACAUGUAUGUAUACAUGAUGUAUAGAAGAUUUGCAUGAACUAUAUGAAUGUUUCUUGAACGUACCAGGUUGAUACAACGGAUGUUUUUCUAAGAUCAUCCGAAAAAAGAUUAAAUAUCUAGAAUUUUUGUUUUUAUUACCAUCAACCAUAUUGUGAGUCCUUUAGUUUAUGGUUUGAAAGGAUGCCUAUUAUAUUUAUAUAUACACACACACUAGUAAAUAAUAGUUAACAGUAUAUG
rnacentral:lncRNA from 1 species